rnacentral:lncRNA from 1 species
GAAUAUUAUAGAGCGGAGAAAAUGAACCGGUUACAGGUAAACGCAGCGAGAUGGGUCGAUCUUACAAACAUAACGUUCAGGGAAAGAGGCCAGACACACAAGAACAAACAUCAAUUCGACUUUGCCCGCCUCCCUUUCUCUGACAGCCAGACCAAUUUUGGGGCAGGUGUUUACCCUAGGAGACGGGGCUGUACCGGAAGAGACCUCUUGGGGGGGGGCGGUGAUGCUAUUUCUUGAUUUAUUCCCAGGGCAGAGGCCCUCACUCUAGGGUCACUUGGUGCAUAUUCACUCUUGCAAAGUUGGUGCUCCUUCCUGCACGGGUGUCAUUCUUCAGUAGCAAACCCCGGAUAAAUGCGAUCACAUCACGUUGACUGUGUUUCCCUCGCCCAAGGGGUCGUGGGGGCCUGGGCCGAUGGUGAGCCCCCCUUGUCCUCCCGUCUCCGCCGAAAUGUCUCCCAACCCGUCCUAGCAGGUGGCCUAACCGCUGGCCACGAUGCCGCCAUGCCCCCGCACUUCUGGCACCGAGACCCUCGACCCUCGACCCUCGACCCUAGGAGGAGCCCCUUCUUCAAGUCUUCAGACACCAGCCGGAUGUCCUAUGAUUCGAUUCGAUUCUGGCACUAACCACCCAGAGUUUGCACAGACCCAAGGUUAGGGGGUCCCCUGCGUCGGACGUCCGUUGGAAGUCCCAGGUUGUCACCUGGGCUUCUGACCGACUGGCUAUAAACGGGGGGCGGGGGGGGGCGGAUAUCCUCAACCCCUCCUCAGCUUGGGUGACUUGCUCAAACUGCUCACAGAACUCAAGUUACUUUCCUUAUUAGCACCGGCCGUAAAGGACACAAGCCAGGAACAGCCAAGUGGAAGAGAUCCCUGGGGCGGAGCAUGGGGGGGAGGGGGGAGAGGGGCUCAGAGCUUCUGGCCCUCCCGGCACCCCCAUACGAUCCCCAGGCAGGAAGCUCCCCAAACCCCAUUUUUCAGGGCUUUUUUAAACGGAUGUUCCAUUAAGUUCGCAGGACUGAG